UCCGGUGUGGUCUAGUGGCUAGGAUACCUGGCUUUCACCCAGGAGGCCCGGGUUCGAUUCCCGGUAGCGUAACGGAA